GAACGCGAAGAACCUUACCCGGGCUUGAACUAACGGUGACGAAUCUAGAGAUAGAUUUUUCUUCGGACACCGUUGGAGGUGCUGCAUGGUUGUCGUCAGCUCGUGCCGUGAGGUGUCGGCUUAAGUGCCAUAACGAGCGCAACCCUUCUCCUCGGUUGCCAUCGGGUAAUGCCGGGCACUCCGUGGACACUGCCAUCGUAAGAUGUGAGGAAGGUGGGGAUGACGUCAAAUCAGCACGGCCCUUACGUCCGGGGCUACACACGUGUUACAAUGGGGGGUACAGAAGGCCGCUACCCGGCGACGGGAUGCAAAUCUUUAAAACCUCUCUCAGUUCGGAUCGGAGUCUGCAACCCGACUCCGUGAAGCUGGAUUCGCUAGUAAUCGCGCAUCAGCCAUGGCGCGGUGAAUACGUUCCCGGGUCUUGUACACACC
rnacentral:rRNA from 1 species